ACUUACAUGCUAAAUAUCCAUACAAUAAAACAAGUAAUUCAGAGAUUAGCAUGGCCCCUAAGCAAAGAUGACAGGCAAAUUUGUGAAACAUCCAGUAUUUUU